ACGCCCCGCAUACCUGCACAGUCCCCGCACUAACCCGGUGCGGGCGAGCGCGGGUGAUGUGCGGGUGUGCGGGACAUCCCCUCGCCUCAUGCCCCGAUUGCAAUCUCAACCUGUCACGGACUAUACGUACUUACUAUCAA